rnacentral:rRNA from 1 species
UACGGAGGAUGCAAGUGUUAUCCGGAAUCACUGGGCGUAAAGCGUCUGUAGGUGGUUAAAUAAGUCAACUGUUAAAUCUUGAGGCUCAACUUCAAAAUCGCAGUCGAAACUAUUAGACUAGAGUAUAGUAGGGGUAAAGGGAAUUUCCAGUGGAGCGGUGAAAUGCGUAGAGAUUGGAAAGAACACCAAUGGCGAAAGCACUUUACUGGGCUAUUACUGACACUGAGAGACGAAAGCUAGGGUAGCAAAUGGG